CUCAGACAAAAAAAACAGUAACUACACAUCUUUAUACGUUUCACAAGUUUAUAGGCACAUAUAUAAUCUUUCAAUAUUAAUGUAAGAUAGGCAAUUUUUCAAUAUUUGACGUCGUACGUGGCAAGAAAAUAAGAACAGCAAAAAGAACCUUGUCCAUUUGCUAGGCCAACAAACACUUCAUCGCACAAACCGCGGUAUCCAGCUUGGAAAAUGGAAAAAAAUAUAAAGUCUUUCAGUACUCUUUCUU
rnacentral:lncRNA from 1 species